UUUUAAAGGAAAGUAACUUUUUUUUCCUCUUCUUUUUUUUUUUUUUGGUUCGAUAAGGUGCUGUUGGCAAGCGGUGUUGAGAGCAGAGGGCUGUUGGUAGAGCCGCCCUGUCGCCGGGGGCGAAGCUUCCCCAGCCGCUCGCAGCGUCGCUCUGCUUUCAGCACCGUGCCAAAAGGUGCUUUUAAAGCUUGACCUUGAGGGAUUGGAAGCCUUUUAACAAAAUUUUAGCCAGCGAGUGACCUGACGGCUUAUCUGGUGAUGUCAAUACCUGCUUUGUUGGGGAGUGGAAAAGAAAUACCUCGUUGCCAAAGCAGCUGGCGUUAGCGCUCGGCUGCCUGGAAAUUACAGCACUGAAAACUGACUUUCUGCAGUAACUGAGGUGUUCGCUCCCUUCCGUGAAGUCGAGGGACCGGAUCUGGACCUUCAGAAAAAAAAUAGUCUCUUGGGGUGUUGCUUUAAAAUCUUCAGAGAUGCGGAGGGGAUUUCCCCUUUCAGCCAGAAAGUGAAUUACAUGUUCAUUUUCUUCCAAAACCAUGAAUCUUUCUGAUUGAGGCAACCUGCAAUGCAAGAGCAAAGGCUGGGCUCAAUGUCUGUCAGCCGGAGCGUGCGCGAUACCGGGGAAUACCACGCUUCACCCCUGUUGUGUCAGGAACGGUUUAGGGGAGCUCUUCCCCUUAACUACCAAAAGGGAUCACAAAAAAUUCCUCCUCGAUUUUACGGUGUUUAGUCAAAUGUUCUGUUUGACGCUUUGGUGCUGAACAGUGGCGUUCGCUGAUUCUAUAUGCAAAACUAUACGUGCGGCGGCUGCUGCGAGACAGCUGGGGAGUGGAGUUGUCUCUGGAGAUGCCGCUCCGGCGCGGCUCCUCCUGGAGGCUCUGCUGGGGCACACGGAGGAUCAGGAGCCCCGUUUGGCGCAGGGAUGCGGUUAGCCCAGCGGAUUAGGGGGGUCAGCAGGGAACGAAGCACCUCGAGUAAUCGCGUGGAGCUUGAUGAUGAAAGAUGAUCAAGUGAAGUUUAGAAAAAUACCGUCGGUCGCGGAAAAGUUUUAAGGGCGAGGAGAGACUCGCAGCUCCGAGCCGCAGCAGCUGGCCUGCUCUCGGGCAAGAUAAAAAUCCGGAGCUCUUUUGGCCCGUAGUUCAUUGGUUUGGGGUUUUAUGGGGGUUUUUUUGGUCCUAGUUUUGUAACUGUUGGCAGGAUUGGAGGCAAUAAUUCUAUUUCAUGGACCUUCCGUUGCAUUUUCCCCUGUUAUUUCCACGUGUGUCCGGGUAACGCGGUUUUCUCUCGGUUGCGGCCUUUGUUCACGUCUCUUUGCCGAUAGAUCAGCCCCGACGUCGGAGGCGCGGACCAACGGGCUCGUAAAGGCGUGAACAUACGGUCCCGGCGCCGAAGGAAUUCCUGGCCCCGAGAGGACUCGGUUUUCCGCCCCGAAGUGGGCCGGUUCCUGGCGGCUGGGCCCGAAGGGAAGGUGGGAUGUGCCCAAAUCNNNNNNNNNNNNNNNNNNNNNNNNNNNNNNNNNNNNNNNNNNNNNNNNNNNNNNNNNNNNNNNNNNNNNNNNNNNGCCCGGGCUCGCCCGCGAGCGCUCGGAGGGUUCCUGCGCCUGCGGGAAAAGCUUCCCGAGCCUCCCCGGCUUUGGAGCAUCAAAGUGCGUUUAUUUAUAACCAGUGUAGCUGUAUUUAUAAAUAAGACUUUUUUUAUCUUUUUUUUUCCAAAAGAUGUUUUGAAGACGGCUUUAAUAAUUAUUUUUUAUGAAUGAAUAUUUGGAGAGACUCGGUUCCUGGCUGUUGAUUACUUCGGCGUUUCCUCGCUGACUUCGAGCACAAAUUACGUUCUUUUGUUCCCCCGCACAUGGACAGUUUGGGUCUGUUUGAGCUCAAAACCUGUGUCAGAGGGUCCGGGACAGCAUUAAAGUAAACCCAGGCAGGUGGUUCUAACACCCAGAAGCGUUGGCGGGUGUAAAGGGACGCUGUCAACUUUGGCCUUUACGUUUUGCCUGAAAUUUAUGUUUCUUUGUCAAUUCGAAGAGCUCGGCAGCUGUGCUGCGUAUAAACGCUGUGUUGUGCCUCCCACAGCACCGCCAUUCUCUGUUAUUUCCACCCUCCCCUGAAAAAAGGCUCAGUUUUGCCAAAAACUCCCUUCAGCUGGGAAACAAAACUUCCCCUUCAGAACAGGAGGGGGGA
rnacentral:lncRNA from 1 species